AGUGAACGCUGGCGGCGUGCUUAACACAUGCAAGUCGAACGAGAACGGAUUAUAGCUUGCUAUAAUUGUCAGCUAAGUGGCGCACGGGGGAGUAAUGUAUAGGUAAUAUGCCUCUUACUAAGGGAUAACAAAUGGAAACGUUUGCUAAUACCUUAUACUCCUUAUUAACCUAAGUUAAUAAAAAAAAGAUUUAUUGAAAUUAUUUUUUAUUUUUUAUUUUUAGUUAGUUGGUGGGGUAAUGGCUUACCAAGACUAUGACACAUAACUGGUUUGAGAGGAUGAUCAGUCACACUGGAACUGAGACACGGUCCAGACUCCUACGGGAGGCAGCAGGGGGGAAUAUUGCACAAUGGACGAAAGUCUGAUGCAGCAACGCCGCGUGGAGGAUGACACAUUUCGGUGCGUAAACUUCUUAUAUAUGAGAAGAUAAUGACGGUAUUAUAUGAAUAAGCACCGGCUAACUCCGUGCCAGCAGCCGCAGUAA
rnacentral:rRNA from 1 species